UUAAUUGCGAGUGAAGCGGCAUCAGCUCAAAUUUGAAAUCUGGCCCCCGCGGGGCCCGAGUUGUAAUUUGUAGAGGGUGUUUCGGGCGCGAUGCCGGUCUAAGUUCCUUGGAACAGGACGUCGUAGAGGGUGAGAAUCCCGUAUGCGACCGGCGAUCAAGCCCGUGCGAAGCCCCUUCGACGAGUCGAGUUGUUUGGGAAUGCAGCUCAAAAUGGGUGGUAAAUUUCAUCUAAAGCUAAAUACCGGCCAGAGACCGAUAGCGGACAAGUAGAGUGAUCGAAAGAUGAAAAGCACUUUGGAAAGAGAGUCAAACAGUACGUGAAAUUGUUGAAAGGGAAGCGCUUGCGAUCAGACCGGUCCGGAGGCGAUCAGCCGCGUCUCGACAGCGGCGUCAACGCGCCUUCGGACCGGGCCAGCAUCGGUUUGGGCGGCGGGACAAAAGUCCCGGGAAUGUAGCUUCUCUCGGGGAGUCUUAUAGCCCGGGUCGCAAUGCCGCCCGCCCGGACCGAGGACCGCGCUUCGGCUAGGAUGCUGGCGUAAUGGUUGCAAGCG
rnacentral:rRNA from 1 species